rnacentral:lncRNA from 1 species
UAAAUUUAUUUGUUAGUACUGAUAUUUUAUAUUAGAAGAAAGUUUUAAUUCUUAUUUUUUAUAAAUAUCUAUUUGAAUAUGAAAUAAACUUUUCUGACUAGAGUAAAGUGGAUUUUUGGCAAAGCGAUUCAUGUUAUUUUUAACGAAUUAUAACAAAUGGCAAGAACAAAUGUUCCACAACAAUUGUGAUUCUUCAAAAUUAUCGCAAUAUAUCAGUUCGGUAAUAUAUCAUAGCAAGCACGUCCGCAGUUCCUGUACGAAUAUGAAUUAUUGCCUCUACUAUUAUGCAAUGUUUCAAGAACGAUCAAAUAAACGUGAACUUACAUGAUAGCAACAACUAUAAAAAAAUCGCUUUGAUCUACUCUUGUAAAUUACAGAUAGAUGAAAUUACAAUCAAUUUAGUCACGUCGCAAUUCAGGCUAUAUAAUAGCGACACGCCCGGCUUACAACUUGAGUUACGUGGGUUUUCGACCUGAGAGUUACGACUUGAGCUUAUUUGUUAUAGAAACUGAAAACUAAUUAACAAUUUGCUGUGUUAUAUACUGAAAAACGAAAGAAAAAGGAAAGAAAUUCUCGAAUUUUUGUAGCUCCGCACGAACGAGCAACAAGCGGCUCGCGCCACGCUUGUAAAAGCUUUACGAUCUUGUCAAGAAAGAGAAAUGGAUUUACACUCGUUUCACGUCGGCCAACCGACAUUAGAGUUUCUAGAGAAACAAGCCAAUUUGCACAGCUGCUCAGCGCCGCGCCUAAGUUUCCAGAUCGCCCUUCGUCAGUCCCUUCCUGAUGACGAAAAGGAUCCAAACAAGGAAUUUACGAGUUGUUUAUUUUUAAAGAGACUUAAAUUCGGGUUUAAGAUACAAGGUCCAAGUAAUAUAUGUAAAAUGAAGCAACGUGUAUUCUCUUAAUGAAAUACCAAAAUCGAAUUUCUAGAAUUAGGAUUAACUUUAAAUUUGAAGAAUUUUACCGUAUGCAAGUUUGACUGAAAAAGUAAAAGGAUUGAUAAAAAUAAUUAUAUUCUUAUUAUUGUUAUUAAUAGAUCAUUUUAUCUUUAGCAUAAAAAUAAUCUUAUCCAGACUAAACUUAGAGAACAUCUGCAAUGAGAAAAAAGGCAGAUUUCGUGAAAGGUGUGAUUUGGGUGAAUGCAGGUACCAAAUUCUCGAAGGUGGAAGCAAAUCCGGAUGUCUGACCAAAUUCAAAAGCUCGUUAUGGACCGCGACAGAACGACCUGCAGUCGCCCGACUUGGAUUGAGUCCAACGGCAAGCGACGACUGUCCUACGGGAGUGAGCUAGGAUCUACAAAAAUAACACCCGGGGAGAGAAAGAGAACAUCGGUUUCCAGACACGUCGCAACGUAAACCGGCAACCGUAUGUGACAACACGAUCGAUGGUAAGAAACACCUAAAAUAUUAUAGGAGUUUAAAGUAUUGUCUGUAGUAUUACCCAGUACGAAUAACAUAGAAAAAAAUAAAAAAGAUCGCACAAAAGAAUUUUCGCAUAAUGUUGUAUAACGAAUAGGAAUCUAUUCUUGUAUUCUGAUUCGGUAAAAGUCGCUGUGUAUCGCAGUAGAUCGCCGUGUAUCAGCGUACGUCGAUUGUGCAAAGCAACCAUGCGUUAAAGAAAACGCGCUGCGAAGUAUUAUUUCAACAUAUUCCGCCGUGCUUAAAUUUUACUUUAUUUCUCUCCCAUAACAUCUAACUUCCCAUAACAUAAAGUUGCAAAGCAUUUGCGGGCUGAGCCAUUUAGGAUGUUCAUGGCCCGUCGUAUUCACGGCGCGCGCUGCACAAACUAAUGUGAAAAGCUUGUAAUGCGCAUGAACUUUCGCGUUGCGCCGCAUAGCUUCCACGUUGUACUGCAUUAUGCAACGCCGUGCUUUACAAAAUAAGGAUGAAGACGCGCGUACCAUUACGUAGAUCGUCGUAAAUAUCUAUACGCGGACAUUAGCACCCGCAUUAAAGGACAAGAAGUUUUCGACGGGAUAACGGCUGGAGAUUUUUAGCGAGGGACCGACGGGAGAUUUAGAAUGAGGGAACUUCUCGAAAAACUUGUGACAAUCCCAGCGAAUUCACAAAGUUCUCGUGAAAGUACGCGAGAGAGGCGAGGUGAGAUGGCAUCCAUUUGACUACGGAUAACGGAUUCGGGGGCAUUCGUUCCCUCGUGCCCGGAUUUUAACGGUAGAGUCCCCUCGAAUCCAUUUUUAGGUGACGAACCCUACUAGUAACUGUAGCGGAGUUACUUCACGAAAAUAAAAGUUCGAGACCGAGAGAAUGGAAUGACGACGAACUCCAGCGCGCAGCGGCCCGGGCUUAUUGAAAAACUUUGCGUAAAUCCGAGGUAAAACUUGGAAGAAAAAGUCGGAUAAGGGACGUUGCACGAAUGCGAAAGUGUGUCUGCCAGGCGUAUAAUUAGCGUUUCCAACAAUUCCGAAGAGUGCUAACCACGAAUCAUAGAUAUCCAAAUUAAUAUCUACAUCGGUAUAUAGACUACGACGUCUAACAUUAAUGUAUCGAUGUGUUGCGUUAGAGUUCAAGAAUAUAGCUGUACUAUAAGAGAUCCCAGAAGUAAAUUACGCGAUCAGAUUCUGCGAACUUUCCUACAACCGUCUGUACAGCCUGUAAAUUCUAUUUCUAAAGUAAAUGUGCUUUUAAAACACCAUUUAAAUCUUGCACAUAUGCAAUCAAGCAUACUUUACAUUUCAUCAUGAUUAGAGUAAAAGAAGGCAAAACGUGUAUGAACGUUGGAUGUUGGAACUCGGCCGGGCGCAAGGCAUGGGCUCAAGGCACGGGGCGAUGACAGAAACAACAAAGUGCACGCCGAGGAAAUGUGGAGCUAGUCAGGCGUCGCGGAAGCAGUUAAAGGUUAAUAACGAAACCGUGGAAAUACGUUCGCCACGCAUCGACCUCACAUAGAACGUAUUCGAUGUUCCACUUGCUAUUCUUAUAACGCAAUGCGCCGCGCUAGUUUCCAAUGUACAGGCGAACUAGCGCUGACCACUUAUCAUGGGAAGCAUUAAACAUACGCGGGCACAGAUAAGAACUGGAACGUGCCCACGCUCGAUAUGUGAACUCGUUCAUAAGACUUGGAAAUACAAGGAUUAAUCCACGAUCCCGCUGUGCUACGUCGAAAUUGCAUUUACGGCGUUUGCGGGGGACUGAAUAAUUCUGUCAGUUCAUAUCCCAUCGAAAUUUAUGGGCUCUCGAGAGCGAAUUUAAAUUGGGUAAACUUGGAUACCACUUCCAAGCUAAGCGGCUCAUGCACUCUUAAUUAACUGCUGAUUAUUAGAUGUAAUAAUUCCACAGUCCGAUAACAUCGUUCAAGAUACCGACUAUCUCGAGGGCCCAUAGUGUAAGACGGAUUAAACGCUUACAGGAUCAGGCCUGUACCUCGGAACGUAUGUAACAGUAUUCAAAGGUUACACAUAUAAUUGCUGAUGAUAACGUACAAAAAUCGUAAUAAACGUUUCCAUCCGCAGGGUAUUAAACCCGACGAGACCGGAGAGCGCAUUCGACCGUGACGGGGCAUAUUUAUUCUUUUCUUUUUUGGAAGCCGAACCUCGUAGACCGAGAUACCCGGCUGCGUUAAAAUUGUGGGCCAUUGUUAAGCCGGGAAUAGAUUCGGCUCUCGUUGAAGACGCCAGACCUCCCGACGGUUCUCAACCACGCGGUUCCGCGUUUAGAGAGGACUCUAAACAUAGAUCGGGAUCGCGAUUAAACUGCGUUGAGACGUGUAGUUGUUGCAGGUGUUACAAGCAAACGCGAGCUGCAUGCGAGUCAAACGGAUAAAAUUCUUGGGCACUCUAGCAUUAGAGAUCUGCGACCAUCAAAGGAUCACGGAUCUCUUUUAGGCCAAUAUUCAUAGUCGAAUCUUAUAUUUAAGAUCAUCUUAAGUGUAUCUUCAGAUACUCCAUAGCCAAUGAAAUAAUCUAUACGACUAUACAGCAUCUGCAGAUAAACUUAAGACGGUCUUAAAUAUAAGAUUCGACUAUGAAUACCGGUCUUAGCAGGAAAUUACGACAAAUGUUAUAUCCCGCUUGCCUUGUGUAGGUAUCCUGAAGCACGCGUGGAUGUAAUUAUGAUCGCGAUUAUAGCUGUAGGGAGAUCUUGAUCUGUGAGUGACUUCUCUCUCUUUGCAGGAGUCAACGGUAAUAAAGUUAAUCUUCGAUACGUCCAAGAUACGUAAUAAAAUAUGAUAUUGGGUUACAACGACUGGAAUCUCAAUUUGUAGCGAUCGCAAACGAAAUAUUGAAUGAAAGAUUUAUUUAUUAUUAUUAUCUCAGAAUUGCUGAUGCAGUACGAAAGUUCAAAACUGAAACAAUAGCUAACCUACAAAUGCAUAUAAGUUGUACAUUUUGAAAUUUUAAUUAGACAGUUUAAAUACCGAGAUACUAAAGUAUCGAACAUAAAAAAACUUGCAACGAACAAUGGUAUUCUUCAAUAUUUCCUUCAGGAAAAAUGAUGACUAAAUUUAUCACGAAAUCUGUUAUUAAAAUUUAAGAAUCGGAGAGUCUGGAACGUUUCUCAGAUCAAAUUACCCACUUCUCUAAACGUCACCGAUGACGCUGAUAGAGACAAACAGUGACUCGGACGGUUUUACUCGCGCCUUAACAACCUUCCGAGGCCUCGUGCGAUCGUAAAAGGAAAAUCGUACGAGCAUGUCUACACUUUCAUUGUAACGAUCGUUGUCGAAUCAGAUCGUGGGACGUUGCAAUGCCAGCCGAUUAUGCAAAUUACAGCGUUACCGUUAAAUUACAUCCGCGACACUAAUACUGGACUUUCCACGCUCGGUGAAUCGGGAGCGCGCAUAGAUUACGAGACCGAUCAGUGUCCCCGAUUGCAGUGUCGUCGUUUUUGACUGGUUUUCCAUGUCCUCCGAUAAUGAAACAGUUUAUACAUUAAAAAGAAAAAAGUGACCAAGAUAUCAAAAUAGAUCAACAUAGGAAAAUUUAAUUUCACUCUCCAUUUCUUUUUUUUAGAACGAUUAAACAGUAACUUUCAAUUUCAACAAGUAUUAAUGUUUUCACUCAACAGGGUCAUAAUAAAAUUAUUAAAUAAAUAAUAUAAAACUUUUAAAUGUUUUAUCACAAUCUUAACACUAUCGUUUUACAAACAAAAACAUUUUACUUACAUUAAAACGAAACAAGGUUUAAGAAAGAGCACCGCGAUUUCUAAUGCCAAUUCAAGAAUGCUGCCUUGGUUGUAACAGAGGGAUUCGGGGAGAAGAGUUAAGUGAUCGAAGUAAAGAAGAAAUACAACGGUAAUCGAGGUACGACGAAGAAGGAGAGAACGCUCGGACGCGUUCGCGAUUGUCGCAGGAGAUGAAGUGCACCGCCUCUGCCAAAUAUCUCGGCGGUCACCGGUCUCGUUGUCAUCGCCGAUGUAAGCGUAGCAGGUAGGAAACCCUAUCGAGAGUCCACAAUGGGUCCUCUAUGUGAGGUCUGCUUCCCCCGCACAAUGGCGGGCCAAGAGUUCCUUAUAUUUUAUGACAACCCGCUGCAGCAGCCGUCGCGCAGGCUACGGUUUACGGUCCAAACACCAGCGAGAUUCCGCGAAGCUUUCCUCUGUGUGACACCGGGCGGGCACUAUCUUUAUUCCGACUUUAUCGUUCCCGUAAAGUCCGCCUAUCCGCGCACUUGUUUUCGAUCGAGGCGUGUGGCUGCGAGCAACCGAUGCGAUGGUACCAUCGAGGAUUUUUCUUGCGAGCGAUCUCGAGAUCGGAAACGAGCUCCCUCAACUUCAAUCUCGUAUAUAAUUCACCGGGCUCGUGUUCCUCGAUACUCAGUUUCUCAUUCGCGGGGCAGCAACAGCGGCCGCGCAAUGUCUUGCAGCAACAAUUUGUCUGCAGUGCUGGUAUAAGUUUUUAUUCCCGUGAUGAGAAUAAAGAAGCAAGGUGAAAAAGUAUUACGAGAUUACAUCGGCAAGUUUUAAAUGGUAAAAUGGAUGUUGGGGGAUUAUAAUAGUGGCGUCGAGGAAAGUGUACCUUGCACCGGCGCGUAUCUCGGACGAAAGAGACAGCCGUAAAAUUAAUUGAAUUUAAGUUUCUUACCCCUUGUUCUCUCCCCCGCACCGUUACGAAACACGAUGGAAAAGUGUUUCUCUUCUGCGUCACGCGUGACUAAACGCGAGAAGAAAUAUUUUCUCGGUUGUACGUGAUUCAUCGGCUACCGACGCCAGAGCACCAUCAUUUUUUAAUGACUGAACGGAGUUUCGUUUCAGACUAAAAUAUCUCUGAGACGAGUUUAUUUACGCAAAUAUAAUAAAUAUAAUAAAUUAAAUUAACCAAUCCUCGUAUAUUUAGGAUAAUUAAUCAUUAAUUUUUAUUAAAAUUGUAUAUCAAGCUAAAAUUAUUUUCUUCAUAUUGCAGAAUAUAGUGAAAAUGAAGUACAAAACAGUUUCAUAAAUAUACAUAAUGUCUGAAUAUUUUAAUUAUAAAGUUAAAUUAAAAAUAAUAUAUGUUAGUUUAGUCACUAAACUUUAGUGCACGGUUUUAUUUGGGAGCAAUGUACAACAGAAAAAACAAUAAAACGAAUUUCAUACCGUAACAAAUUGGAAAUUGUGAAUCUCGUUUCCACAACCUUUAAUUGGCAUCAGAAUUCCGAGCAGUGUCGCAACCACUACUGAUUACGCGAUGCGCGUAACAAUCAUCGAGUAGAGGUAUCAAUGAAGCCGAUGAAUCACCUAAUCGUGCUCCGAUUCAAAAUUGUUCAGCGUCUGCUUUAUCCACACAUUUACAACUAAUCGUCGUUUUACGUAAUUUCAACGUCCCGCACAGCGUAAUCAUGCAAUUGCAUCGCCGGAAGAACCUAAGCGCAAGGUUUGUCGACACUCUGUAUUUCAGUCGCCGGUAACUCUGUCGCUCGCGGCGAUACUUCGUGUCAGCUAACGCAUGCUUCGAGUCAUCGCGGCGAGUGACGCGGCGUCAAACGAUGACAUUGGUUCCAGAUGACUCGCCUCGAAACAAGAACGUGUCCCUCGUUCGUAACGGCCGUCGAGAGCGAAUGGAACGUGACGAUCGAGAAAGCCGAGAGACACGUUGUAGCCAAAUCUUGGAUCAUUGUACCGUGAUAUACAUAUAACGAGCUGAUGCUGCAUGAUCAAUGAUUCUGUCUCGUACAAAAUACUCUCGUAUAAAGUACUCGCAUUUAGGAUGUAAAAAGAUUGAUUAUCAAAACUCUACCGGAGUCUACACAUCAUUUAAUCCGGUUCGCCUUCAAUACAUUCAAUACGUUCUAUAAAAUAAAUUUCUCCAUUUAUAUUCGGUCAAUCUAUAAAAUACAAUUACGUCGAAGGGAGGAAUUCAUUUCCGGCGCCGGAACACCUUCGGUAACUAAUCCGAGGGGGAAGAGCCGUGGUUAUUGCACGUGGAACAUAUGGCGGCCGUUGGCACGCGUCACACAGAGCCCGGCGAGCACUACGUUUAGAAAUGUGAAAGAGGAUACGAGCGGAAAUGAACGCUUCAACGAGACUUGGACAUAUAAAGGGCACUACUAAUCAUGAGGGGACCCGACGCGACGGUUUAAUGCAUUUGUGCGUUUCGCGAUGUUUUCCUUGCAGCCCAGGCGGAUCGCUAAGGAUCGUUAAUUCGGGGCGAGCUUACGUACAUAGCACUCUACAUAUCGUAUAGCGUGCAAUACGGUUCUCCGACGAUAAAUCGACGUGACAUCACAAUGGCAAAAUUAAAGAAUUGAAUAUCGAGAGUAGGCGGUACGUGUUCCUACCGCUCGCUUUCAUGUCGUCCUUUUCUCUGGCCAUUUGGCGCGGUCGACGCGCGCGCAGAAAACGCGAAAAAAGAGUGAAAAAGAGCCCACUACGAAGUGGUCUCCUUCAAUAAAAGUCCGGCGUACAAUGGACGCCGCACGAAAAAGCGGGGAUCGUCCCCGGUGUCGGGUACGCGGCAUAAAUCCACCCAUUCAACCGCGCUCAACGUACCCGGGUUGACCUUCCCGGCCAUGAAAAUGGGUCGUAGGUGAGAGAACACGCGCGCGACUCGCUGCAGAUCGCUCUGCAAUCGACGCACGUAUGGAAUCCCAGGCAUUUUGUCGGACGUGUCUUCGCGAAUGUCAGAUCCUGGCGCGCUUCCGUACGCUUCGCGAAUUAUUCUGACCCCGAAUUCAAUUACGCUCUUUGAUCACUUGCAUUAUCUUGAAUUGAAGCAUUUAAACAGACAAGCACUUAUUAUCUCCUUACAUUUAUCUAACUUGCAAGCACGUAUUAUCUCCGCGCUCGGCAUCAGUAAAAUAAUAAAGUAACUGAUUAGAUAAUAAGCGCAUUAAAAAAUGAAUAUUAAAAAGUAUUUACGGAAUAUUCUUCAUAAUUAGCUUACAUAAUGGUACUUCUUAAGUUGAAUUAAUCGAUUUAAAAGAAAAACAGUGGCUUCGCAAUUUCUCUCUAAAAUUAUAUGAUGAUAAUGUGAAUAUUAAUUUUAUAUAGAACCGUUCAAUAUAAAUGAAUAUAAUAAUCAGCAAAUGCCAGAACGUAAAUAUUUCGAUAAAAUUCAUUCGCAAUCCGCAAGAUGAUCGAACCCGCUUGCGCAGUAUCGUUUCCUUAUAUCGUCUCGCAGAACGAGAAGCGACUCUCUCUAGUGCGGAUCUUACGGAGGCGAUUUUACGGGAUCGGUGACCACGUAAAAAGGCCCUAGAUAAAAAGCGCUCGUUCACAGCAGACGGUUAAACCCGUUACGGAUAUAGCUUAAGAGAGAGGGAGAGAAAGAGAGAGAGAGAGAGAGAAAAGAGAGAGAACGUGUACACGGAUGGAAGAUUCGUAUUUUCGAAGCGAACUGCCAGCAUCUGUCGACGGGCGUGGAACGAGCAUUGAAACGUGCACAACCAACACGAAACACGAAGAGAAGAUUAUCCCGACGGAGGUGCAUACUUAGGAUAACAGUGAGAGAAGGAAGACACAGAAGUAUAUCCAAGAAAAAUAAGAGAAAACGCAAAAGGAUCUGAGAACGAAGAAGAAAAAAACAGAAUGGAAUACAAACAAGUUGUACUCGUGACAUUACAGAGAAUAUUCACGUGUAGGCCUAUUUAUUUAUCUGCGAGAUUGGUUUCUCUUGGUUUUACGUGAUUGAAAAGUAUUUUUGCUUCACAAAUACACUUAACGUCGAUAUUCUCGCAAUAUAUGAUUAAAACAACAUUUAAAUAGGUGAAUAUUUGGAGUAACUGUCAAGGAAAUAAUAUCAGAGUGCAUGGAGUAAAUAUAAAUUUAUUUUGUUACGAUAUCUUCUCAUACAAUCUCCAUUAAAUUGCACAUCGAAUAUAAUAUUCUAUUAUUACGCAAGAUCUAAUAUAUUUCUCAUCGAGACACUCAAGAUUUCGUAACGCGUACGCUGUUUUCGGUUUGAUGCACAACGCACUUCGUGUCUAGCAUCGGAAACACCCACGUUGCAAAUCUAGGACUGGCCAUCCAUAGCGAAUCCAAGGUUGAAACCGUCGAUCGCUAAUUUAUACACGUAGCUGAUGCCACUAUGAAUGGAUGGAAGAAGCAUGAUUUAAUGAUAAUUUUUACUUGACUUUAAAUUAUUUUACACAUUGAAUAUUCAAUUUAAUUUAUAUUUUCUCUUAUGGAUUAUAUAAAUAUUAUUUUAAACCAAAAUCCAAAAACGUAGAGCAAAAUUAUUUUAACAUACAUGUACUUGUACACACUCUUGACAUCCCAAUUUUAAUCCUGUUGAUAAACUUGAUUGCAGAAAUUCUCUCUCUCUCUCUCUCUCUCUCUCUCUCUCUCUCUUUUCUCUCUCGCCUUUCACAUCCAUUAAUCAUCAGUAAUCCUAAUCCGAUUUUACAUCGCCCGAAAGUUCAAAAGAGAAUUUCGAGUUUCUUCAUUAGUACUAUUAAUGCGCGAAACGCA